AUUGAACGCUGGCGGCAGGCCUAACACAUGCAAGUCGAGCGGAUGAAGAGAGCUUGCUCUCUGAUCUAGCGGCGGACGGGUGAGCAAUGCCUAGGAAUCUGCCUGGUAGUGGGGGAUAACGUUCCGAAAGGAACGCUAAUACCGCAUACGUCCUACGGGAGAAAGCAGGGGACCUUCGGGCCUUGCGCUAUCAGAUGAGCCUAGGUCGGAUUAGCUAGUUAGUGAGGUAAUGGCUCACCAAGGCUACGAUCCGUAACUGGUCUGAGAGGAUGAUCAGUCACACUGGAACUGAGACACGGUCCAGACUCCUACGGGAGGCAGCAGUGGGGAAUAUUGGACAAUGGGCGAAAGCCUGAUCCAGCCAUGCCGCGUGUGUGAAGGAGGUCUUCGGAUUGUAAGGCACUUUAAGUUGGGAGGAAGGGCAGUAAGUUAAUACCUUGCUGUUUUGACGUUACCGACAGAAUAAGCACCGGCUAACUUCGUGCCAGCCGCCGCGGUAAGAC
rnacentral:rRNA from 1 species